AGUUUUUGGAGUGAAAGAUGAAGAGGGGGAGAUUACUGUCACAUUAGAGGAGGACGAAGAAGAGAAGACUGGAGAACUGAUUAACACUAGUAAAUACAGAGAGAGACGGGACUAUCGUGGAUCCUCUGUGGAGCCUCAACAACAUCAUGAUGCUGACGAGGCAGAGAGGAGUCUCUCCAGAUCAGAACACCUCAAGAAACACCAGCAGAGACCCACAGGGAAGAGAACUCACUGCUGCUCUGACUGUGGGAAGAGAUUCAACUCUUCAUCAAACCUUAAAAUACAUAAAAGAAUUCACACAGGAGAGAAAUCUUAUAGCUGUGAUCAAUGUGGGAAGAGUUUUACUACAUCUAGCUAUCUAACAAUACACCAGAGAACACACACAGGAGAGAAACCUUACGGCUGUGAUCAAUGUGGGAAGAGAUUUAUUCUGCUACAAACCCUGAAAUCACAUCAGAGAAUACACUCUGGAGAGAAACCUUAUGGCUGUGAUCAAUGUGGGAAGAGUUUUACUCAGCUAAGCAACCGGAUAGUACACCAGCGGGGACACACAGGAGAGAAACCUUUUAGCUGUAGUCAAUGUGGGAAGAGUUUUACUCAGCUAAACAGCCUGAUAGUACACCAACGGACACACACAGGAGAUAAACCUUAUAGCUGUAGUCAAUGUGGGAAGAGUUUUUCUACAUCUAGCUAUCUAACUAUACACCAGAGAACACACACAGGAGAGAAACCUUAUGGCUGUGAUCAAUGUGGGAAGGGUUUUAUUCGGUUACAAACCCUGAAAUCACAUCAGAGAAUACACACAGGAGAGAAACCUGUAAUCAAUGUGGGAAGAGUUUUAAUCAGCUAAACAGCCUGAUAGUACACCAGAGAACACACACAGGAGAGAAAAGAUUUUAAAUGUGAUCAAUGUGGGAAGAGUUUUGGUACAUCUGGAUGUCU